rnacentral:lncRNA from 1 species
UUAUAGCAACAUCUCAAAUUUAAAUGGAAAGUAAAUAGCAUGCUGUUAGCAUUAAAGAAAACCCAAUCGGGGCAGGCGGGAAGCACUCCAGCCUCCUUGCAAGCUUGGGGCGCCUCAUUCUCUCCCGUGCCCCUUCUCCCAGCUGGGUCUGAGCCCCCGCCCCCCUGGCUCCUCCGUUCUGCUUCUCCCAGCUUCUCUGUCCAUCUCCCCCAGUGGCCUCUCUCUACACUCUCUGCCUCAGCUUCCAGGUCUCUGCUGGUCCCUAGGAAGCACUUUGACCUCUGCUUCCCCUUCAAAUGCUGUGGAUCAAGCCUCCCCAACCCCACCAUCCCACCAAAGGGGGCUGCUGACCGAGAGAGCUCACUCAGCCAGAGAGCCAGCUGUUAAACACUAGCCAACACCCCACUGAUGCUGUUCCUUCUACCUGAAACACCUCGCAUUGCCGGUGAGCUCUAAAGACAAGAGGACCUGGGUCUGCAUUUCCCAAAGGCAAGAAUCUGGUAUCACCUGCAUAUUAUUUUCCCAUAUUUGAGCACCACUGCCUUUUGCAUUAUUUACUUAGCAGUUUUGCUCCUGUCAACUCACUUUUUUAAAACUAAACUUAUUUUAAAAAGAAAAGUUUUGGCCGGGAGCGGUGGCUCACGCCUGUAAUCCCAGCACUUUGGGAGGCCGAGGUGGGCAGAUCACCUGAGGUCGGGAGUUUGAGACCAGCCUGACCAACAUGGAGAAACUCCGUCUCUACUAAAAAUACAAAAUUAGCUGGGCGUGGUGGCUCAUGCCUGUAAUCCUAGCUACUCGGGAGGCUGUGGCAGGAGAAUUGCUUGAACCCAGGAGGCGGAGAUUGCAAUGAGUCGAGAUCGCCCCAUUGUACUCCAGCCUGGGGAACAAGAACGAAACUCCAUCUCAAAAAAAAAGAAAAAGAAAAGAAAAGCUUUAUAUAAUUUUAAUACUCAAAAAAACAGUAUCCCGGCCAGGCACAGUGGCUCACACCUGUAAUCCCAGCAAUUUGGGAGGCCAGGCAGGAGGAUCACUUGAGGCUAGGGGUUUAAGACCACUUGAGGCUAGGGCCAACAUGGUGAGACCCCAUCUCUACUAAAAAUACAAAAAUUAGCCAGGCAUAGUGGCAUGUGCCUGUAAUCCCAACUACUCGGGUGGCUGAGGAACAAAAAUCACCUGAAUCCAGGAGGCGGAGGUUGCUGCGAGCCGAGAUCGUGCCACUGCACUUCAGCCUGGGUGACGGAGUGAGACUCUGUCUCAAAAAAAGAAAAAGAAAAAGAGUAUCCCUUGUCAUAAAUAGCAAGCAGUCAUUCAGACAUGGAAAUGAGGCAUUCACACUUGUUCUUGUUUCACACUAAGGCCCUAAGCCUAAGGAGGGUUUCUCUAUGUUGAAAGGAAAUGAGGCAGUGUUCAGAGGGCUGUUAAAGAUAGACUAGCAACUAACUGAAACUUUCUCCUCAAUGUAAGCACUUUAGAAGGGACUGAAAAGAGAAUGUUCUUCCUACAUGUACCGUAUCACCUCCAAUUACCUCGUGUACCACUAUUUUGCAAAUAAAUGCCAGAGGCAAGAGUACAUUUUGAUGCUUUAGCCUAGCACUCAAAGCCCUCCUCGAUUUGAAUCUUUCCAGCCUCAUCUUGCACAGCCCCUCCAUACCCAGGCCUCACCCACUCUAUUUGCCAUCUCCAGAACAUACCCCUAACCGUCUCACCUCUGUGCCUUUGUGCAAGCUGCUCCCUCUACCUGGAAACCUCCAUUUGUCAAGCUGCUGCUGUCUUCAAGAUCUUCCUGGUCAGAAUCUCCUGCUGUCCUCUUCUGCCGCCCGCAGCAAUGUGAGCCUUCCCUACUCACUGGAGCAGAGCUACGGCAUCAGAAUGCCCUGGACCAGGGGUUAGAAACACAGAUUUCUGAGUCUGCACUCGAAGAUUUUUUCUUUCUUUCUUUCUUUCUUUUUUUUUGUUUUCCAAUUUUUCUAAUUUUAGAGAUGGGGUCUCACCACAUUGCCCAGGCUGGUCUCAAGCUCCUGGACUCAGGUCAUCCUACCACCUAGGCCUUCUAAAGUGUUAGGAUGAGCCCUGAACCUUGUAACAUGAACAUUUAUUAGUUAUAUCUGGAAAAAAAUAUAAAGUUAUUUUUAUUUGGGUGAUACUGCCUUCAAAAAAAAACAAAAAAAACAGGAGGCCGAGCACAGUGGCUCAUGCCUGUAAUCCCAGUGCUUUGGGAGGCUGAGGCAGGCGGAUCACUUGAGGCCAGGAGUUCAAGACCAGCCUGGCCAACAUAGUGAAACCCCGCUUCUAUUGAAAAUACAAAAAUGGGCCAGGCGCGGUGGCUCAUACCUGUAAUCCCAGCACUUUGGGAGGCCAAGGCGAGUGAAUAACGAGGUCAAGAGAUCAAGACCAUCCUGGUAAACAUGGAGAAACCCUGUCUUUACUAAAAAUACAAAAAUUAGCUGGGCACGGUGGCACGUGCCUGUAGUCCCAGCUACUAGAGAAGCUGAGGCAGCGGAAUCGCUUGAACCCAGGAGGCAGAGGUUGCGGUGAGCUGAGAUUGCACCACUGCACUCCAGCCUGGGUGACAGAGUGAGACUCUGUCUCAAAAAAAAAAAAAAAAAAAUUACCCAAGUGUGGUGGCACAGGCCUGUAAUCCCAAUUACUCGGGAGGCUGAGGCAGAAGAAUUGCUUGAAUCUGGGAGGUGGAGGUUUCAGUGAGCCAAGAUCGCACCACUGCCCUCCAGCCUUCGCAAUAGAGCAAGACUCCAUCUCACAAAAUAAAAAGCCAAAAAAAGCUCUCGACAGUUCUGUUCCCUGCCUGAGGUGUUUGUCUCAGGAUCCCGGCCUGGCUGUGGGCCACAGAUGGCAAAAACCAAGGUCCGUCUAUUACUGGGCAUCCAGGGUUUCAUAAUCUCUAUGACCUACAUGCCUGGAACUCCACACAUUGCGCAUGCCCCAGAAACGCUUGCCCAACGGACCCCAAUCCACCAUUUCUGAAUGCAUUUUUCAUGACUUGCUGAAGGUGUCUUGUCAAUCCAAUUAGAUUGUAAACUCCGGGAGUGCAGGGACAACGCUGACCUUCCUAUUACUCCCCUCACCCCUGCCCAGCUCUGGUCUGGGCACACAGUGACUCUCAAGGGUAGCACAAAGACUUGAGGCAAGAAAAACUCCUGUACAAGGAAAAGGCUGGAUCCUGGGAGUGCCUCUGUCUGCUUUGCUGCCAUCCUCUUCUUCAACAGCAAAGGACACGCUAGUUCUAUGCAGCAAAAGUUUCCAACACGUUAGCCUAAGAAUUUCGAGUCAUGCAAAAAAUAAAUUCCCAGAGUCACAGGGUUAAAAAAAAUCAGAUUCCAGGGCCCCAUCCUUGUUGUUCCUGAGUCAGACUCCCCAAUCAAACUGCCAGAGAACCUCUUCUUUGAACAAACACUUCAGGCAACUUUCCCAGGAUAAAGCAAGUUUCAGAAACUCUCACACAGCUUCUUAGGUAUCUCAGAUAUGGCUCUUGCCCUCCAGAUGUUUACAAAUGAAAACAAGAAAUCUGGUUCCAACAAGCAAAAGCCCAGAGAGACCUCAAACACAAAGAUGCAAAUCAAAAUUAGUAGAGAAAUAAAUGAGCCGGGACGUUGUAUUUCGGUCGCGGGGCUGGCUGAGGUCACUGCCUGCACAGCCGACUGUUGGAAGUUCUGCGGUAUACCAGCUGAAUGGCCUUGAACAAGUCCCAUCUCCACUCUGAGCCUCCGUUUCCGCAUCUGUAGAAUGGGGAUAUGUGGGCCUAACUCACAGCGUUGUUGUGAGAAUUCAACAAGAACACAUCAAGCAGGUGUGAAUAUAGCAAGCCGGCAUUUGAUUAAAUGUUAGUUUUCGUCCUAAGAAAAAUAGCUAAUAUUUCUGAGCACUUACGGCCGAGCCCUGAGCUAACAUUUACUUGCUCCUUUAACUCCCACAACAACCCAAUGAGGUAGGAUCUAUUAUUAUCCCCAUUUCACAGAUGCGGAAAUUAAGGCACAGAAAGGUUAAAAAAAAAACAUGCACAGGCCAGGCGUGGUGGAUCACCCCCUGUAAUCUCAGCACUUUGGGAGGUGGAGCCUGGAGGAUCGCUUGAGGCCAGGAGUUUGAGACUAGCCUGGGCAACAUAGCAAGACCCUGUCUCUCUAAAAAAAAAAUUUAAAGCUGAGUGCAGUGGCUCACGCCUGUAACCCCAACACUUUGAGAGGCUGAGGCAGGUGAACUCUUGAGCCCAGGAAUUCAAGACCAAACUGGGCAGCAUAAUGAGACCCUGUCUCUUAAAAAAAAAAAAAAUCAGCUGGGCGUGGUGGUGCAUGCCUGUGAUCCCAACUACUCGGGAGGCUGAGGUGGGAGGAUCGCUUGAGCCCAGGAGUUUGAGGUUGCAGUGAGCUAUGAUUGUGCCAUUGCGCUCCAGCCUGCACAACAGAGAAAGGUCUGUCUUAAAAAAAAAAAAAAAGAAAGAAAGAAAAGAAAAGAAAAAAGUACCCAACGUCUCCCAACCAGGAAAUGGCAGAGCUGGGAUUAGAGCCUAGAAAACCUAUCCUGGAGCCCCAGGAGGAAAUAGCCUCACGGGAGCAAAACCACCGGGUGUUUAGGACUCAUGAAAAUUAUACAUUGGCUUCUUUGGGAAAAGUGGCCCAUUCAGCUGAGCAGGACCCAAAAUAGCAAAAGGGCCAAGGACAGCCCGCCUGCCCUAGGUGUGGCCCCAGCCAGGAUUCCUAGCCCUGCGAGUUUUCCCAGAUUGGCCAACACACAUCUGAACCCCCGGGAUCAGGAAGUGCCAAUGCCUGGUUCUUGCUAAAGCCAUUUACUGUUGACAGAUAUCCCACCGAUGGCCAAGUGCCAGUUAGUCACGGCCUCAGUGCAGCACCUCAUCCCUCCCAGAAAGCCAUGGCUCUGGACUCCACCCACUGAAAACAGGGCUUUUGUGGGAAUACAAUGGGACAAGAAGAAAAACAUGCUGAACCUGAUCUCCAUGGGACCUGAUGUGGAGUCACGUUCAUUCACACCCCUGGCUUGCAGCCUCUCCACUCACAAGUUAUUGAUAAUCGAAAAAAUAAAACAACAUGCGAUCGUAUUUCUGGGCAGAUAGAAUGCAAGAGCCUGGGGCACUGGUUGUUUCUGGGGAGGGGAAGGGAACCGAGAGACCCAAGAAGAGGGUGGACAAGCUAGGCACGGUGGCUCACCCCUGUAAUCCCAGCAUUUUGGGAGGCCAAGGCAGGCAGACACUUGAGGUCAGGAGUUCGAGAUCACCCUGGCCAACAUGGUGAAACCCUGUCUCUACUAAAAACAUAAAAAUUAGCCAGGCGUGGUGGCAGGUGCCUAUAAUCGCAGCCACUCAGGAGUCUGAGGCAGGGGAAUCACUUGAACCUAGAGGCAGAGAUUGCAGUAACCGGAGAUCGUGCCAUUGCAUUCCAUCCUGGGCGACAGAGCGAAACUCCGUCUCAAAGAAAAAAAUAAAAGGACUAUGAGUGGGAGCAGAUGUAGGGAGAUGCAAGGGACGGAGUAUCAGGAGAACAGUACCUGUUCUGGGCUCUCCGCUAAUCAAACCCAACCACCAGGCAGAGGCAUGGGAGACCCCCACACACAGAGCAGGGUGGAGACAGGAGAAGCGAUCGCAGAAGAGGCCAGACCACCACCCAAUAGAUGUGGGUAACUAUUCAAAACUCAGAUCAUCUGAACAGAAAAAGGUGAAUGCUAUGAGCUAAAAAUUUCAAGGUUCUUUGCAUCAGUGCCCUUUUUUUUUUUCCUGAAGUUAUUUCAAGUUGGAUUUCUACCACUUGCAAACCAAAGAGUCUUGCCGAACAGAGACGGAAACAUGGAAGAUUUCAUUGAAGCGGAAACCUGGCAUUAUAAUUGCCCACUGCUUGUAAAAUUCAGGCCGGUGUGGUGGCUCACGCCUGUAAUCCCAACACUUCGGAAGGCUGAGGUGGGCAGAUCGCCUGAGCCCAGAAGUUCAAGACCAGCCUGGGCAACAUGGCAAGACCCUGUCUCUAUAAAAAAUUUUGGUUUAAAGCUAAGUGCAGUGGCUCACGCCUGUAAUGCCAACUCUUUCGGAGGCUGAAGCAGGUUAAUUGCUUGAGCCCAGGAGGUCGAGACCAAACUGGGCAACAUAGUGAGACCCCAUCUCUAAAAAAAGAGAAGAAAAAAUCAGCAGGGAGUGUUGGCACAUGCCAGUGGUCCCAGCUAUUCAGGAGGCCAAGGUGGAAGAAUCACCUGAACCCAGGAAGGUCAAGGCCGCAGCAAGCUGUGAUAGUGCCACUGCACUCCAGCCUGGACAACAGAGCAAGACCCUGUCUCAAAAUAAGUACAUAGGCUGGGCGAGGUGGCUCAUGCCUGUAAUCCUAGCACUUUGGGAGGUCGAGGCGGGCAGAUCAUUUGGGGUAAGGAGUUCGAGACCAGUUUGGUCAACACAGUGAAACCCCGUCUCUACUGAAAAUACAAAAAAAAUUAGCUGGGUGUGGUGGCACAUGCCUGUAAUCCCAGCUACUUGGGGAGGCUGAGGCAGGAGAAUUACUUGAACCCGGGAGACAGAGAUCGCGUCACUGCACUCCAGCCUGGUUGACAGUGCGAGACUCUCAAAAAAAAAAAAAAAAAAUUGGCCAGGCAUAGUGGCUCACGCCUGUAAUCCUAGCACUUUGGGAGGCUGAGACAGGAGGAUUACCUGAGGUUGGGAGUUCGAGACCAGCCUGGCCAACAUGGCGAAACCCCGUCUCUACUAAAAAAUACAAAAAUUAGCUGGGCAUGGUGGCACAUGCCUGUAAUCUCAGCUACUCGCGAGGCUGAGGCUGGAGAAUCACUUGAACCUGGGAGGCAGAGGUUGCAGUGAGCUCAGAUCGCGCCACUGCACUACAGCCUGGGUGACAGAGUGAGACUCUGUCUCAAAAAAAAAAAAAAAAAAUCAAUUAAUUUAGCUUAAUUCAACUGCUUCACCUUGGCCUACAAGGGGCUGGGCCACCCUGUCCAAUCCAUGAUCACCUUUUUCCACUGUCCCCCUGCAGUGCACAGCAAGUCGCCUACAGCUCCUCCCAUACCCACAGCCCCUUCCUGCCUGGGACCUUCGCCCAUGCUGUUCCUCCUGCCUGAACCCCUCUCCUAGCUCUUCCUCCCAUCAGCACCUCAUUGUCAUCCCUUCCCUAUCCUGUGGUCUGAAUGUUUGUGUCCUCCCAAAGUUCAUAUGUGGAAUCCUAGCCCACCAGGUGGUGGUAUUAAGAGGUGGGGACUUUGGGGGCAGGAUUAGUUCCCUUAUCAAAGAGGCCCAAGGGAGAUUGUUUGUCCCUUGCACCAGGUGAGGGCCCCGCAAGAAGGUGCCCUUGCUGGAGAUCCCAGACUCUAUAACUAUGAGAAAUAUUGUUUAUAAGUAACCCAGUUUAUGUUUUUUUGGUUUUUUGGUUUUUUUUUUUCAAGGUGGAGUCUCGCUCUGUGGCCCAGGCAAUCUUGGCUCACUACAACCUCCGCCUCCCAGGUUCAGGCGAUUCUCCUGCCUCAGCCUUCUGAGUAGCUGGAAUUUCAGGCACCCACCACCAUAUCCGUCUAAUUUUUGUAUUUUUAGUACAGACGAGGUUUCACCAUGUUGGCCAGGCUGGUCUCGAACUCCUGGCCUCAAGCAAUCCUCCCGCCUCGGCCUCCCAAAGUGUUGGGAUUACAAGCAUGAGUCACCAUGCCUGGCCUAUGGUAUUUUUUUUAUAGCAGCAGGAACAGACUAAGACAUCCUACUUCUCAGCUUAAACGUCACCUCUGCACAGAGCCCUUCGUGAUACAUCUGAACAGAUUCUUUUCUGUGACUCUCCAUCCCUGCACUGUGUUUGCUCUUUCAGGGUGCUUUUUUACAUUUGUGAGGGUGUAUGCAUCUCCUCUUCCAGGCUGUAAGCUUCAUAAAGUCUCUGUUUUGUUCGUAACUAGAACAAGCCCUAGCACCUAGCAGUGAGUGUUCAUUAAACAUGUGAAGAAUGAAUCAGCGAGUGAUUUCAUGUCUCAUCAUCUCUAAAAAGCCUGUUUGAUCACUUCCAGGACCAGGAAACUCCUGACAUUAUCAAGGAUGCCAUUGCAAAGUGAAAUGUCAUAAACAUGUAGGAGUUGAUUCUUUCCAGAAGCUGGCAGUCCAGGACUGGUGUGGGGGCUCCACAGUGUCAUCAGAGCUUUGACCUUCCUGCUCUACCAUCUUCAGUGGGUGGCUUCUGUACUCAGGGUUACCUCAUGGUCCAAGAUGGCUGCUGGACUCUCGCCAUUAUAUCCAAAUACCAGGUAGAAUAGAGGACAAAAGCAGUGAACCUCAAGGCUGAGGCUCCUGGAAGCCUCAUACACUUUUACCUACUACAGUCCAUGGAACAUAGUGUAGUCACGGGGCCACGCCAAAAUGCAAGAGAGACUGGGAAAUGUCUUCAUUCCAGGCAGCACGAUCCGAAUCUGUUAUUAAGGGAAAAAAUAGGAAGAAUGGAUAUUAGGUAUGUAACUAGCUACAAAUGAUCAUGGCAUCUCCGUUUAUUGAGCACUUACUAUGUGCUAGACACAGUCCUAAGUACUUAAUAAAUGUGGCCCGGUCAAACAAGAUUGCCCUCUGCCCCUUCUGUAGCCAGGGACACACACACACACACGCACGCACGCACGCACGCACGUACAGGAGCCAGUUGGGCCUGGCCCCCUUCACUGCGGGUACUGACAUGCGAAGUCUUUGUCAUAUGACUCUGAGCAGGGAGGGGGCAGUGUCCUCUUAGCAUAAUAAGAUCAGGAUUCAUAACAUUAAAUCAAAGUGCUGUAACUCACAGGAAUAUCAAUUUCCUAUUCAGAAGAUAGAGGAGAAUGUUUUCAGAAGGAAAUUGAACUUUAUGGUUUGAAACAUGUUUAAUUUUAAAUAUGUUGAGAGAAAACCAGCUACAGCCUGGCAAGGAAACUCGUGUUGUUCCAGCCAAUGCCUUGGAGAACCAGAGACCACGCCCCCUUCCUCCCUGCUGAGGAGUCAACGAACGAGACCAAAGUCCCCUGUUCUUCUCUGCAGUCAGCAGAAAUCAGAGAAGAACAUCUUUAGACAGUCAGCAGACUCGGGAACUGUGUACUUUGCAAUUUAC